rnacentral:rRNA from 1 species
GAUGAACGCUGGCGGCGUGCUUAACACAUGCAAGUCGAACGGGAAACCUUUUAAUGAAGCUUCGGCAGAUUUAGCUGGUUUCUAGUGGCGGACGGGUGAGUAACGCGUGGGUAACCUGCCUUAUACAGGGGGAUAACAGUCAGAAAUGACUGCUAAUACCGCAUAAGCGCACAGGACCGCAUGGUCCGGUGUGAAAAACUCGGGUGGGAUAAGAUGGACCCGCGUUGGAUUAGCUUGUUGGUGGGGUAACGGCUCACCAAGGCGACGAUCCAUAGCCGGCAUGAGAGAGUGAGCGGACACAUUGAGACUGGGACGCAGCCCAGACUCCUACGGGAGGCAGGAGUGGGGAAUAUAGCACAAUGGGGGGAACGCUGAUGCAGCGACGCCGCGUGAAGGAAGAAGUAUCUCGGUAAGUAAACUUCUAUCAGCAGGGAAGAUAGUGACGGUACCUAACUAAGAAGCCCCGGCUAACUACGUG